GCAGGCUUGGAUAGUUCAAUUGGUUAGAGCAUGGUGCUGGUAACAGCAAGGUUGCAGGUUUGAUCCCCGUAAGGGACAGCUGCA
rnacentral:tRNA from 1 species